rnacentral:rRNA from 1 species
UACGGGGGGAGCAAGCGUUGUUCGGAUUUACUGGGCGUAAAGGGCGCGUAGGCGGCCAGCACAAGUCAGUUGUGAAAUCUCCGAGCUUAACUCGGAAAGGUCAACUGAUACUGUGCGGCUAGAGUGCGGAAGGGGCAACUGGAAUUCUUGGUGUAGCGGUGAAAUGCGUAGAUAUCAAGAGGAACACCUGCGGCGAAGGCGGCCAUCUGGACCAGCACUGACACUGAGGCACGAAAGCGUGGGGAGCAAACAGG